AGAGCAUGGGUCCCCCAUGGCCCCAGCUGAGCUCUAACACAGGGCCUGCAGGAGAGUCACUGCACUUCUCAUGCUGCAAAUGAACCUGCACAGGUGGCUUUAGCACCAGGCUCUUCUAAUUCAAAAUACCUCUCCACGCAGAGUUGAUUUCCUGGAUCUUCAGGGCUUAUAGCAGUAAAAAUAUUCUUGAUGAGGAAGUACAGUGACUGUCCAUGCUGAUUGAAUUUAUGUCUGUCCUAGCCCCAGCUCCCGGCACAGACUGUGGUGUGGGGCAGGGGGUAUUUUAAUUCCUGUGAUGGCCCUUGGCUGUGUUGUGUGCCUGGGAACAUCAUCAGUGUCCAGGUGUCACUGCAGUGCUGACAAAUCCAGCUCCCAGGGCUGUGAGUCACAGAAUCACAGAAUCACAGAAUCCAGAAUGACCAGGUUGGAAGAGAUCUUCAAGAUCAUCAGGUCCAACCCAGCCCUAACACCUCAACUAAACCAAGGCACCAGUGCCACAUCCAGCCCUCUUUUAAACACAUCCAGGGAUGGUGACCCCACCACCUCCCCAGACAGACAAUUCUGGGGGAGGAAGUCAGACCUCGCUGCUUUGCU